rnacentral:rRNA from 1 species
GACGAGGGGCAAGUGUUCUUCGGAAUGAGUGGGCAUAAAGGGCACGUAGGCGGUGAAUCGGGUUGAAAGUGAAAGUCGCCAAAAAGUGGCGGAAUGCUCUCGAAACCAAUUCACUUGAGUGAGACAGAGGAGAGUGGAAUUUCGUGUGUAGGGGUGAAAUCCGUAAAUAUACGAAGGAACACCAAAAGCGAAGGCAGCUCUCUGGGUCCCUAUCGACGCUGGGGUGCGAAAGCAUGGGGAACGAACAGG